rnacentral:rRNA from 1 species
GACGUAGGUGGCGAACGUUAUCCGGAAUUAUUGGGCGUAAAGGGUGCGUAGGUGGCCUGACAAGUUAUCAGUGGCAAAUCGAGGCUCAACCUCGUGGAAACUGGUAAUACUGUCCGGCUUGAGUACAGGAGAGGUUAACGGAACUCUAUGUGGAGCGGUAAAAUGCGCAGAUAUCAGGAGGAACACCAGCGGCGAAGGCGGUGCUCUGGGCCGGAACUGACGCUGAGGAGCGAAAGCGUGGGGAGCGAACAGG